GACGAACGCUGGCGGCGUGCCUAAUACAUGCAAGUCGAACGCAGUGGGGACGGGUGAGUAACACGUGGGUAACCUCCCAUCAGAGGGGAUAACACUUGGAAACAGGUGCUAAACCGAUACUGAUGGAUGAACCCGCGGUGCAUUAGCUAGUUGGAGAGGUAACGGCUCACCAAGGCCACGAUGCAUAGCCGGGCUGAGAGGGUGAGCGGCCACACUGGGACUGAGACACGGCCCAGACUCCUACGGGAGGCAGCAGUAGGGAAGCUUGCGCAAUGGGCGAAAGUCUGACCGAGCAACGCCGCGUGAGUGAAGAAGGUUUUCGGAUCGUAAAGCUCUGUUGUUAGGGACGCGGUAUCUAACCAGAAAGCCACGGCUAACUACGUGCCAGCAGCCGCGGUAAUUC
rnacentral:rRNA from 1 species